AUCUCGCAGUUCACUCAAGGCUGGUUGCAGCAGGGUGCUACGGAGGCUCAACCCCCUGUCCUCAAUGAGUGAAUUUGAGGAUAGCGUCUGUGCAACGUUGAUAAAAAUCCCAUUUUAACUCAGAAGCGAAGCUCGUCACCUUCAGACUCGGGCAGUGAAGGAAUGUGUGGUAAAGGCUCGAGCUGAAGGCCCAGGUGGGAAUUAUUGUUAAGUGUAGAGAAUGAAAACCAGAAUAGAAGUCAGUAUGCAGGUCCAGACUGAAGGAGAGGGAGAGAAGGGAGAGGGUUCACCUGACACUCUCGUGGGACAUGUGUCUCUAUUGUGUUAGGGGGCUAAAAUCAGCACAGAAGGAAAUCUAGAGCCAAAUUCCGAUGUGUUCCGAGGCGCUGCAGAGGGAUCUGUUAGAGAAAUUAGUGAACAACAACACCCACACGGAGCAGAGCUCACCUCCUCCUGUUUGGUGAGUCGGGGUAGACUGUUUGUCAGGCUCAGAGAGGACAGAAGCAGGAACAGAGGGUCAUGGCUGAUCAUGGGGACUUCGGGAAGUCGUGAGCAUCGGACAUGUUACCUGAAGAAGAUUUACCUCCUGAGAGGAGAGAGGAGCAAAGACAAGUGAGCACAGGCAAGUAAUGGGGUUAACCUCUAGCUUUGGUCAAGGCUCUUUAACAAAUGUGCUAAAAUCACAUUUAGGGUGGGCAAUGUUAACCUGUUUGUUAUAAAUGAAAUAGUUGCGGGCUGAACAGUUAAAAGUCAAACGCGCGCACAUGGAUUUGUAUCUUUGAAAGGACUUGCAUGCACCUAAUUUAUUCCCCGGCCUCUUACCCCAACACUAACUCUAACUCAGCCCAUGAACACAAUUUUAAUCUAAACCCUAAAACAAACCUCUGUAGUUGUAAAAAGCAAGAAAAUGUCCUCAAUUUUUGAGUAAACUCUGUAUAUCGCUCCUAAUUCAGCAGAACACAGGGGCACACCUGUGCACACAUGAAUGCACAAUAUGUAUGCCUUUUUGGAAGGAAUGUACAUUACGAUUUGAUGGAUAUCAGCUAAGAGGACUAUGUUUGGAUGCCUCUCAAGGCGGUGCGCCUCUAAAAUCAACACAGGAAGCCCCUCCAUCACACGACCACGUUAGUGGAGGAAAUGCCCUCCCUGAUGACUCCAUUAACACCCAGCCUCUGCCUGCUGCAGCUCCUGCAGGAGGGGAGGCUUCACCGGAUGCCGUAACAUUUAAGAAACCUCUACAGGAGCAGCAAAAGCCCACCUGCGGCCUCACAGCACCCGACAAUGAAGUCCCUCCUCCGUAUCCAGGCCUGGAACAACAGCAGGGGUCACGAUCGGUGGUCCACAGCAGGAAGAGCAGGAGCAGCAGGAGCAAAGUGGCAGCAUCACAGCAACCUGCUGCCUCAGCUGCCGACUGUUGCUUACAGCUGCUGUUGGCGUGUCUCUCCUGUCAGGGCUCUGUGCUCCUCCUGGGGCUGGGGGAGGCCUGCUCCUCCUGUCUCCAUGCUCUCUGCUCGCCCUGCUGUCACGCCUGCGCCGUGUGCUGCUCAGCCCUGCAGGAGGCGCCUGUGGAGGAGCUCAGCUGCCACGCCCACUGCCACAGGGUGCUGUUUGGGUCGUGCUGUGAGCCCAUUGAAUGCCUGGAGUUUUGUCUGGAGUGCUGCGAGAUCUGCCAUCGCGGUUAG
rnacentral:lncRNA from 1 species